UACGUAGGGGGCAAGCGUUGUCCGGAAUCAUUGGGCGUAAAGCGCGCGUAGGCGGCCCGAUCAGUCCGCUGUAAAAGUCCAGGGCUCAACCCUGGAAAGCCGGUGGAUACUGUCGGGCUAGAGUCCGGAAGAGGAGAGUGGAAUUCCUGGUGUAGCGGUGAAAUGCGCAGAUAUCAGGAAGAACACCCGUGGCUAAGGCGGCUCUCUAGUACGGUACUGACGCUGAGACGCGAAAGCGUGGGGAGCGAACAGG
rnacentral:rRNA from 1 species